GACGAACGCUGGCGGCGUGCCUAAUACAUGCAAGUAGAACGCUGACGGAGGAGCUUGCUUCUCUGGCUGAGUUGCGAACGGGUGAGUAACGCGUAGGUAACCUGCCUUGUAGCGGGGGAUAACUUUUGGAAACGAUAGCUACUACAGCAUAAGAGUAGAUGUUGCAUGACAUUCGCUUAAAAGUUGCAAUUGCAUCACUACCAGAUGGCCCUGCGUUGUAUUAGCUAGUUGGUGGGGUAACAGCUCACCAAGGCGACGAUACAUCGCCGAGCUGAGAGGGGGGUCGAGCACACUGGGACUGAGGCACGGCCCAGACUCCCACGGGGAGGAGCAAUAGGGGAUCUUUGGCAAUUGACGGAAGUCUGACUGAGCAACUCCGCGUUGGGGAAGGAGGGUUUCGGAUCGUUAAGCUCUGUUGUAAGGGAAGAACGAGUGGGAGGUUGGAAAGUUCACGCUGUGACGGUAUCUAAACAGAAAGGAACGGCUAACUACGUG
rnacentral:rRNA from 1 species